rnacentral:rRNA from 1 species
GAAUUCACUAGUGAUUCAGGCCUAACACAUGCAAGUCGAGCGAACCCUUCGGGGUGAGCGGCGGACGGGUGAGUAACGCGUGGGUAACCUGCCCUAUACACACGGAUAACGUACCGAAAGGUACGCUAAUACGAGAUAAUAUAUUUUUAUCGCAUGGUAAAAAUAUCAAAGCUCUGGCGGUAUAGGAUGGACCCGCGUCUGAUUAGCUAGUUGGUAAGGUAAUGGCUUACCAAGGCGACGAUCAGUAGCCGACCUGAGAGGGUGAUCGGCCACAUUGGAACUGAGACACGGUCCAAACUCCUACGGGAGGCAGCAGUGGGGAAUGUUGCACAAGGGGCGAAAGCCUGAUGCAGCAACGCCGC